rnacentral:rRNA from 1 species
UCAGAGGUCUCAAGCGUUGUUCGGAUUCAUUGGGCGUAAAGGGUGCGUAGGUGGCGCCGUAAGUCAGGUGUGAAAUUUCGGAGCUUAACUCCGAAACUGCAUUUGAUACUGCGGUGCUUGAGGACUGGAGAGGAGACUGGAAUUACGGUGUAGCAGUGAAAUGCGUAGAGAUCGUAAGGAAGACCAGUGGCGAAGGCGGG